AGAGUUUGAUCAUGGCUCAGAUUGAACGCUGGCGGCAGGCCUAACACAUGCAAGUCGAACGGUAACAGGAAGCAGCUUGCUGCUUCGCUGACGAGUGGCGGACGGGUGAGUAAUGUCUGGGAAACUGCCUGAUGGAGGGGGAUAACUACUGGAAACGGUAGCUAAUACCGCAUAAUGUCGCAAGACCAAAGAGGGGGACCUUCGGGCCUCUUGCCAUCGGAUGUGCCCAGAUGGGAUUAGCUUGUUGGUGGGGUAACGGCUCACCAAGGCGACGAUCCCUAGCUGGUCUGAGAGGAUGACCAGCCACACUGGAACUGAGACACGGUCCAGACUCCUACGGGAGGCAGCAGUGGGGAAUAUUGCACAAUGGGCGCAAGCCUGAUGCAGCCAUGCCGCGUGUAUGAAGAAGGCCUUCGGGUUGUAAAGUACUUUCAGCGGGAGGAAGGGAGUAAAGUUAAUACCUUUGCUCAUUGACGUUACCCGCAGAAGAAGCACCGGCUAACUCCGUGCCAGCAGCCGCGGUAAUACGGAGGGUGCAAGCGUUAAUCGGAAUUACUGGGCGUAAAGCGCACGCAGGCGGUUUGUUAAGUCAGAUGUGAAAUCCCCGGGCUCAACCUGGGAACUGCAUCUGAUACUGGCAAGCUUGAGUCUCGUAGAGGGGGGUAGAAUUCCAGGUGUAGCGGUGAAAUGCGUAGAGAUCUGGAGGAAUACCGGUGGCGAAGGCGGCCCCCUGGACGAAGACUGACGCUCAGGUGCGAAAGCGUGGGGAGCAAACAGGAUUAGAUACCCUGGUAGUCCACGCCGUAAACGAUGUCGACUUGGAGGUUGUGCCCUUGAGGCGUGGCUUCCGGAGCUAACGCGUUAAGUCGACCGCCUGGGGAGUACGGCCGCAAGGUUAAAACUCAAAUGAAUUGACGGGGGCCCGCACAAGCGGUGGAGCAUGUGGUUUAAUUCGAUGCAACGCGAAGAACCUUACCUGGUCUUGACAUCCACGGAAGUUUUCAGAGAUGAGAAUGUGCCUUCGGGAACCGUGAGACAGGUGCUGCAUGGCUGUCGUCAGCUCGUGUUGUGAAAUGUUGGGUUAAGUCCCGCAACGAGCGCAACCCUUAUCCUUUGUUGCCAGCGGUCCGGCCGGGAACUCAAAGGAGACUGCCAGUGAUAAACUGGAGGAAGGUGGGGAUGACGUCAAGUCAUCAUGGCCCUUACGACCAGGGCUACACACGUGCUACAAUGGCGCAUACAAAGAGAAGCGACCUCGCGAGAGCAAGCGGACCUCAUAAAGUGCGUCGUAGUCCGGAUUGGAGUCUGCAACUCGACUCCAUGAAGUCGGAAUCGCUAGUAAUCGUGGAUCAGAAUGCCACGGUGAAUACGUUCCCGGGCCUUGUACACACCGCCCGUCACACCAUGGGAGUGGGUUGCAAAAGAAGUAGGUAGCUUAACCUUCGGGAGGGCGCUUACCACUUUGUGAUUCAUGACUGGGGUGAAGUCGUAACAAGGUAACCGUAGGGGAACCUGCGGUUGGAUCACCU
rnacentral:rRNA from 1 species